AUUGAACGCUGGCGGCAGGCCUAACACAUGCAAGUCGAACGGUAACAGGAAGAAGCUUGCUUCUUUGCUGACGAGUGGCGGACGGGUGAGUAAUGUCUGGGAAACUGCCUGAUGGAGGGGGAUAACUACUGGAAACGGUAGCUAAUACCGCAUAACGUCGCAAGACCAAAGAGGGGGACCUUCGGGCCUCUUGCCAUCGGAUGUGCCCAGAUGGGAUUAGCUAGUAGGUGGGGUAACGGCUCACCUAGGCGACGAUCCCUAGCUGGUCUGAGAGGAUGACUAGCCACACUGGAACUGAGACACGGUCCAGACUCCUACGGGAGGCAGCAGUGGGGAAUAUUGCACAAUGGGCGCAAGCCUGAUGCAGCCAUGCCGCGUGUAUGAAGAAGGCCUUCGGGUUGUAAAGUACUUUCAGCGGGGAGGAAGGGAGUAAAGUUAAUACCUUUGCUCAUUGACGUUACCCGCAGAAGAAGCACCGGCUAACUCCGUG
rnacentral:rRNA from 1 species